rnacentral:rRNA from 1 species
GCAACUCUGACCCAGCCAUGCCGCGUGCAGGAUGACUGCCCUAUGGGUUGUAAACUGCUUUUAUACAGGAAGAAACACUGGUAUGUAUACCAGCUUGACGGUACUGUAAGAAUAAGGACCGGSUAWCUCCGUGCCAGCAGCCGCGGUAAUA